AGAGUUUGAUCCUGGCUCAGGAUGAACGCUGGCGGCGUGCCUAACACAUGCAAGUCGAACGUGAUCCCGUUUUCGGAUGGGUGAAAGUGGCGAACGGGUGAGUAACACGUUGGUGACCUGCCCCGAAGAGGGGGAUAACUCUGGGAAACCAGAGCUAAAACCCCAGAUGUUUAAGAGUUUAGACGCCUUAAACUAAAACCUUGGUGCUUCGGGAGGGGCCUGCGGGCUAUCAGCUAGUUGGUGGGGUAAAGGCCUACCAAGGCGAAGACGGCUAGGGGGCGUGAGAGCGUGACCCCCCACAAUGGAACUGAGAAACGGUCCAUACUCCUACGGGAGGCAGCAGUGAGGAAUAUUGCACAAUGGGCGCAAGCCUGAUGCAGCAACGCCGCGUGGAUGAUGAAGGCCUUCGGGUUGUAAAAUCCUUUUCUGGGGAAAGAUAAUGACGUACCCCAGAAUAUC
rnacentral:rRNA from 1 species